AAUGAACGUUGGCGGCGUGGAUUAGGCAUGCAGGUCGUGCGAGAACCGUAGCAAUACGGGGACAGCGGCGAAAGGGAGAGUAACACGUGGAUACCAACCCUUGGGACUGGGAUAGCUACGGGAAACUGUAGGUAAUACCAGAUGACGUCUCCGGACCAAAGGUGGGAUUCCGCCCGAGGACGGGUCCGCGGUCUAGUAGCUAGUUGGGAGGGUAAUGGCCUACCAAGGCAAAGAUGGAUACGGGGUGUGAGAGCAUGCCCCCGCUCACUGGGACUGAGAUACUGCCCAGACACCUACGGGUGGCUGCAGUCGAGGCUCUUCGGCAAUGGGCGCAAGCCUGACCGAGCGACGCCGCGUGCGAGAUGAAGGCCUUCGGGUUGUAAAUCGCUGACAGUGGGGAGGAAAUGCCGGUGGGUUCUCCCAUCGGUUUGACCUAUCCGCAGAGGAAGGACGGGCUAAGUUCGUGCCAGCAGCCGCAGUAACAC
rnacentral:rRNA from 1 species